rnacentral:misc_RNA from 1 species
GAUGAAGAACGCAGCGAAAUGCGAUAAGUAAUGUGAAUUGCAGAAUUCAGUGAAUCAUCGAAUCUUUGAACGCACAUUGCGCCCGUCAGUAUUCUGGCGGGCAUGCCUGUUCGAGCGUCAUUACGCCCCUCAAGUCCCCUGUGGACUUGGUGUUGGGGAUCGGCGAGGCUGGUUUUCCAGCACAGCCGUCCCUUAAAUUAAUUGGCGGUCUCGCCGUAGCCCUCCUCUGCGCAGUAGUAAAACACUCGCAACAGGAGCCCGGCGCGGUCCACUGCCGUAAAACCCCCCAACUUUUUAUAGUUGACCUCGAAUCAGGUAGGACUACCCGCUGAACUUAAGCAUAUCAAUAAGCGGAGGA